rnacentral:rRNA from 1 species
CAGAUACUACACGCACAACAUGCAAUGGCACCCUGCUCGAUCUGGAUCUCGGCGGCGGCGGCGGCUCCUCCCUCUAACCGCGCACCCUGCUCGAUCUAGAUCUCGGCGACGCUACCACUAUGGCGAUUCCAUUCUUGAGGCGUAGUGGAGGUGACGGAAGCCCGACGGCAUCGGCUUGCCGGAGAUGAAGAAGACGGCCCAGUGCUGCAGUACUCGGGAGGAGGAAUUAGCGAGGGAGGUGGCUCCACUUGGAUGUCGCGGACCAACCACUGGACGGAGUCGAAGCGGGACGAUGUGGUUCGGUGGUCAACGCGGGCCAGGAGGCGGCCAUGGCGAUCCGGCCGCGGCGGUGUUUCUCGAUCCGGAGAGGAGGCGUCCUCCGAUCAGCUCUGCCGUCUCCCCCGCCGGCGUCGCUCUCCACUCACCUUCUUUCCUUCGCCGCCACACCUCUCCCUAUCUGGAUCUGAGCCAACACCGGUUGUUCGUCACCCUCCCUCCCAUCUUACCAACCGCUUAACACAAUCCUGGGUGUAGUGGUCGCGGUGGUUCAAAUCCUGCACGGCGGCGGUGCGGUUCCCUGGCUGCACGGCGAGCAGGAACAAGCAGCGGCGACUUACGGGCUUUGGCGGCGCGAGGACACCCGCGGGACCGGAGAUGGCACAGUGGGCGUCCCGAACACAAGGAGUGUCGUGCCCGGCGUUCGUGAUUUGGCAGACUAUGGAAUCGUGCGCACCGUCGUCGAUUGGGAGCGCGAACCAACGGAUUUUCAGCUCAGUCCACUGAUUUGGAGCAUUCGAUUAUGUCCAAGAAACACUUUGUUGGUAUGGAUGUAUUCAUGAAUGCAGAGAUUUCAGGCAGCCGUGGAGGAUGGGUUGUGUGCGCAGUGCACUUGCCCGGUCAGGAGGAUGUGUGUGCGUAAUGAGAAGUAAACGUCGCAGACAGGUUGGCGCUGUUGCGCGUCCUGCCUGUGUGGCGGCUGUGCAUGCACUGCUCAAGCUGGGAGCUGAUGUGGAGGCUGGAGCUGCUACGGGGGAUGUUGGCUGCGUGCUGCUGAAGCUGGGAGGAGACGGGGAGGUCCCGGACCCGACCCCUCUGCGCAGCGGCGCUAAUAUGGUUGUGCUUGAUGGGCAGGCAGAUGUACCGGCGCCUGGCAGCGAGGGCUGCUUCGUGCCGCCUGCUCGGGCUUGAUCUCUUCAUCAAUCCUUUCCCCGGUGAGCUUUCAUUCCUUCUUGGUUUUGGUUGUGCGUGGCUUUGAUUUGUGGAAAUCCAAUCAGAUUAAUUUCAAAUAUCUUGCGCUGCUUGCAGCAGGACAAGGUCUGUAUGGAACUCGAUUAGUAUGAAAUUUGAACAUUCAAAGGUUAUUGUGAUAUAUAUAGUUGCACGUACGUUAAUGACUUUUUGGGUGUUAGAAACUUGGAAUCCGACCGUCCUAAAUGAGUAGAUGCAGUGCGAAUCACCGCCCGGAGCUGAAUUUAGUGAUUUAGGCUAUGUUAUCUGAUUUAUGUGUCGGUGGCUUUGGGUAGACUGGUUUGAAUCUGAAUUCAGUGGUUGAUGAGAGGAGCAAUGAAGCUAAAUCAUAGAAUAAAAAGCAAAGGAGGUUAUGAGACAGUAUAUAUUUUUCAUUCAACACCCACUUCCAACAUUGCAAGGGUAAAGCUAGAAACUCCAAUAGGAAUGUUUAGUCAUUGACGUUUUCCCUGAUACAUGAAUGCCCGCAUGCUCUCUAAAAAGAAACUCUUCUCGGAUUACCUGUUGUAUUUUGUUCCCUCUCUAAUGAGGCAUUAAAUCAGUCGUGUUGGUCUUAUCGGUGUAUCAUAUAGAUAUAAUUAUGUUCUUCAGCAUUCAUUCGGGUUAAGGCUGGACAAUGAAAAACUUCUCUCUAUAGACUUAUGUUAUUUGUCGGUGAUGAGACACAUAAGUACUAAUUAAUAUAUUUCAUGCGAGAAGGUAUAAUUUGUGGCUUUAAUUUUCUCUUUAUGUUUAUGUUUUCUCUCUUUUGUUGAUCCCGAUGCAUUUUGUACUGAUAUGUUGUGGUAGCUGAUCAUGAGAGGAAGGGUGAAAAUUUCACUUCAAAGUGAUGCUUACUGAGAAGAAGAGUGAGGGGUAAUGACAAAAAUGGCGGAGAAAAAGACUGCUCUAUUUGGUCAUGAAAGCAUAUUUUCUCACUAGAUAAGCUAUUUUUGGUAGCAGGGACGUGAUGAAAUAACAAUGAUGGAGGGGGUGAGGCAAUAGAGGAACAAGACACGAGGAGCAAAGCAGAGAAAAAUGAAAUAAAGAACCAUGCCUUUCAUUUUAUGAUUGUGUUAACAAACCUUCUUUUUACAUAUAUUUAUUCAUGUUUAUCUUUUGAUCUAUUAUGGUUUUCUUAAUAAGUAUCACUAUCUACUCAGAACUAUUUGGAUCAAGCAAUAGGCACCCACCGCAUGUUUGCUUGAAUGUCUUGCUGUCAUCACUAUUGCCAAUUAACUUUUUAUGAUGAUAGUUUCAUGUUGCAUGACAUACAUUUCAAAUAAGUGCAACUUAUACAGCGAGGUCGAGGUCAGAUUCUACUUGCUUGUGUAAACCAAGGUAAUAUUCGCGCAAAACACACACACCAAGGUAACAUGUUUCUCUUCUUUCCACUAGCAACAUUUUGAACAAGUGAUCAUUGUUUUCUUGUCUGACAGUUAAUUCUCUUGCACAACACAGAUACGAGCGCACCACAUGAUUUUUACUAGAAAGGGGAUGGCACAAACUAUGAAUAGUGUUGCAUGAGAUCCAAAAUAGAUUGGUUAUUUGGAAUAUUAAUGCACUGAUUAAUAUAAAUAAGAGGCCAUUUUGAAAUACUUACCGUAUGGAUUGCUGUUUUAGUAAAUAGGCAACACAUAACAAUUUGUUGAUAUUUAAUUAUGGUUUGACCAUGUAUCGUGCUAGAAAUAUUUAUAGGUAAUACUGUAAUCUGAACAUGUGUUCUUGCUUUUUGCCUCAAUCAGGAUUUAUGUCUUUUUGCCUAUUCCUAUGACUCCAGAUUGUUGUAGUAGCCAUCUCUAGAUAAGACUGUAAUAUGAACAUGAUAGAUGUAAAGGCAAAGUUGAUGCCCAUCUUUUUCUGCAACCAUUAGUUUGAAGAAUUUUGGUGUCUUGUCUACCUAAGUAACCAUUGAUUAAAGUGUGCUCAAGGUUCUAGAUUCUUAGAAAAGCCCCUUCCGUCUAUUAUUCAAUUCUAAUGUCGACCUGAUGCCUUUGUUUAGGGAGAAAACUUUUAUGAAUGAGUUCUUUCAGUGUCCUAAUUAUGAAACCCUCAUGCACUGCGCUCAGGUUUUUACUUCCACCAGGUGAUAGAGGAAGAGGAAGAAGCAAGUUGCAGGGCAUACUAUGAUAUACAAAAUAGAUACUGAAUAAUUAAGAGGGAACUUGUGUGCUGCAGAGUUGCAGCGUGUUCCAGCAUUUUGAAAUAUGAAAUAAAAUAGAUACAUGAGAUAUGAUAUAAAGAUUCAGUUUCCAAUUCUGCAGUGUAGUUUGGUGUACUCUCAGUAUCAUUUCAACUUUUCAAGUAUAGGGUUUUGCUAUGAUAUGCUAUACUGCUUCGUGAGUCGUCGUCCGCUGAUCUUGUGCAAGCCUUGGAGGAGUAUCUGCCAGUCAUUCUAGGGAUGGUAAAGGAUGGGACUGAGUUAGAAGACAAGAUACAGUUUGCAUGGAUGAAUCAAGAAGAUGAUGCAGAGGAGACGGCACUGCCCGGCGCCUGGUACGAGGUGCCGUCAGUGCUGCACAUGAUGGCCAUACUCCGUUUAUCACGAGCAAAUUCCCUGCUCCUGCCAAAGACGUCUCUUGAAGGAUACCAUGCCAAAGUAUCUGAAGAGAACAAAUGCGCUUCUGUUGAGAUAUUCCUUAAGGCGUCUGGGCACCUGGAGUGCACCAUGCAGCAUGUUCUUCCUAGGAUGUCACCCUGAAAGAGGAAAGGUUUUCCUGUGGACUUGUCUGAAGGGGUCCUGAAAGCUACUUGCAUGCAAGCACUUGGUCAGGCAAUUGAUGUUCAACUCGGUUGGCAAUUGACAGUCCAAAGGCUACCCUGGCUGUCAAAAGGAGUCUGGCAUGUGAGACGGUCAAGUGCUGGCAGCAGGCACAUGAAAGCAUCGUGGACAUACCUCUGCUCGGCGGCUGGGGCAAAAAGCACAGGCUCUUUGUAAAGUGGAAGCACAUGGAAGCAAAAGCUGCGGCGUAUUAGUACCACGCGCUUGUCCUUGACGAAGGCAACACCGAGAAGUAUCACCGAGCGGCCGUAGCGGCACUGCAGUCCGCGGAGGAGUCCCUGAGGGAGAGCGGAGCCGUCUGUGAGGCCUUCCACUCUGCAUCCCCCUUUUCGAGUUAACGGGGAGCACGAGGUGGUGCUCCCACUGCAAGAGAGGGAGCCAUGCAAAUAGUCAGUUGUGGGCUUGUGGCGCUGGUCGCGACCACCGCAUCACCAACCAUGAUCGUCCAGGUUGUGGCAUGGGGGCGUGCUUGCUGCUGGUGAUCCCUCCAUCAUGAUGAUAAGGCGACUCCCCAACCCUGAUGAUAAGGCUUCAUCCGUUCAAUUUUGACUCUGUAGACAACUAGCUUUUGUGAUUCAAGGAUUCAAGGCGAGUUUUACUCCACGUGUAUUUCUUUUAAGGACAUAGAUGAGGCAGAUAAAGCCUUUGUUGAACUAGACAGCCAAGAGACUGAGGGGGCAACAACUACAUGUUAUGCAUGGGCUCAACCAUAUCAGCUGAAGGGAGUGACAAGCAAGUACUUUGUUGACAAUGAGGAGAAGACGAGCAAUAUGGUAAAGAGUGACUCCUUGGUGAAGCAACUUCAUGAGUUCAUUGAAGUGGUUGAUAUUGUAAUUUUCACGUCUUGUUUUUCUUUGUUCUAGAAUAGAUAAUCAUACACAACAGAGAGAAAAUCUUUAUCUAUUCUUUGCAUCCUUCCUAUUGGUGAUGAGAAAAUAUACCACUGUAAAUUUGAGUGGUGUGACCUAUCAACUUCCCUUUAUUUUUCAUUGUAGUAUUUUGGUUUUGAUGCCCUGAGGGUACACAAGGUUUACCAUUUAGUUGCGUUCAAC